UCACGCCCACACCACGCCCCUCGCCUGCUCCUCCCUAGAGUUUCCAAGCCUACUGGCUUAGGGGGGCGCAUAUGCACUGCCUCCCAGCUUGGCCAGAUGCCACCGCCCAGGCUAAAGGGCAGAGUACUGCACUUGGUCAAGGAAUAGCCAAAAUCACACCCAACAGGGACUCUGUCCCUUUUGAAGGAGCUACACCACACAGACGAAGCCCAGCGGAAAGCACUACCGUCUACCAUCAGUUAACAGCACGUUGACAUCAGCUUCACCAUGCACCACUGCCAUCGUUAUUAUUCUGCAGUAAUGUGGUGGCAAGAGAAUCUUAACCCACACAGAAAUAGCCAAAUCCUUCAGAGGUAAAGAUGUCUACUCAUAAGUUAAUCCAGGCAAAACACAUAGGAAACAGGAAGAUGAAAUGGAAAAGCAGAUGGGACAAUGCCACAGAAAACCAGCGUCUACCUUUCCAAUCUACAUGACAGCUGAGGAGGGGAGUCUGCUCAGUGUCCAGUUCCUUGAACAUAUCAUGCAGUCACCUCAACCCUGCCCCAAUCCCAGUGACAGAUGCUUCUCGGGCUAGUAAGAAGGUAUGGACUCCCUACCCCAUGUUCCUCAUCUACUGCCAGACAUCAAAAUAACUGUGAAGGAACCCCUCCAGGCUCCUGCUACAAUGGCUUCUGUUUAUUUGAGAUCUGACAGAUGGAUACUCACCAGAAGUCUCCUCAAAACAUGGUCAAAUUGACACGUAUGCAGAGCAGAGAACAGUGGUGGGCAAGCUUAAAGCACCGAGAAAGCAAGGUCAGGAAGAACAGUCUGUGUCUCACAUGUGUGAUUUAGCACACUGUCCAUGUUUCCUUCUGCCAAGCAGGUCUCCCUGUGUUGAUCUGGAAUCACCGAGGACUACUUUGAAAGGAAAGCUGUUCCGUGCUUUAAAUCUCACUUGUUGAGUUAUAUCUUCACAAUUUACAAUUGAAUUGUUGAAUUGACCUCCUUAUAAAUACUAUAUAUGGAGGGGGGGGUCUGUAUCUGUGACUGUUUGAAGCUAUAAAAUUAUAUUAA
rnacentral:sRNA from 1 species